rnacentral:rRNA from 2 species
GGUUAAGCGACUAAGCGUACACGGUGGAUGCCCUGGCAGUCAGAGGCGAUGAAGGGCGUGCUAAUCUGCGAUAAGCGCCGGUAAGGUGAUAUGAACCGUUAUAACCGGCGAUACCCGAAUGGGGAAACCCAGUGUGACUCGUCACACUAUCAUUAACUGAAUCCAUAGGUUAAUGAGGCGAACCGGGGGAACUGAAACAUCUAAGUACCCCGAGGAAAAGAAAUCAACCGAGAUUCCCCCAGUAGCGGCGAGCGAACGGGGAGGAGCCCAGAGCCUGAAUCAGCAUGUGUGUUAGUGGAAGCGUCUGGAAAGGCGCGCGAUACAGGGUGACAGCCCCGUACACAAAAGCGCAUGUGCUGUGAGCUCGAUGAGUAGGGCGGGACACGUGGUAUCCUGUCUGAAUAUGGGGGGACCAUCCUCCAAGGCUAAAUACUCCUGACUGACCGAUAGUGAACCAGUACCGUGAGGGAAAGGCGAAAAGAACCCCGGCGAGGGGAGUGAAAAAGAACCUGAAACCGUGUACGUACAAGCAGUGGGAGCACAGGUUUACCUGUGUGACUGCGUACCUUUUGUAUAAUGGGUCAGCGACUUAUAUUCUGUAGCAAGGUUAACCGUAUAGGGGAGCCGUAGGGAAACCGAGUCUUAACCGGGCGUUAAGUUGCAGGGUAUAGACCCGAAACCCGGUGAUCUAGCCAUGGGCAGGUUGAAGGUUGGGUAACACUAACUGGAGGACCGAACCGACUAAUGUUGAAAAAUUAGCGGAUGACCUGUGGCUGGGGGUGAAAGGCCAAUCAAACCGGGAGAUAGCUGGUUCUCCCCGAAAGCUAUUUAGGUAGCGCCUCGUGAAUUCAUCUCCGGGGGUAGAGCACUGUUUCGGCUAGGGGGCCAUCCCGGCUUACCAACCCGAUGCAAACUGCGAAUACCGGAGAAUGUUAUCACGGGAGACACACGGCGGGUGCUAACGUCCGUCGUGAAGAGGGAAACAACCCAGACCGCCAGCUAAGGUCCCAAAGUCAUGGUUAAGUGGGAAACGAUGUGGGAAGGCCCAGACAGCCAGGAUGUUGGCUUAGAAGCAGCCAUCAUUUAAAGAAAGCGUAAUAGCUCACUGGUCGAGUCGGCCUGCGCGGAAGAUGUAACGGGGCUAAACCAUGCACCGAAGCUGCGGCAGCGACACUGUGUGUUGUUGGGUAGGGGAGCGUUCUGUAAGCCUGUGAAGGUGGCCUGUGAGGGUUGCUGGAGGUAUCAGAAGUGCGAAUGCUGACAUAAGUAACGAUAAAGCGGGUGAAAAGCCCGCUCGCCGGAAGACCAAGGGUUCCUGUCCAACGUUAAUCGGGGCAGGGUGAGUCGACCCCUAAGGCGAGGCCGAAAGGCGUAGUCGAUGGGAAACGGGUUAAUAUUCCCGUACUUGGUGUUACUGCGAAGGGGGGACGGAGAAGGCUAUGUUGGCCGGGCGACGGUUGUCCCGGUUUAAGCGUGUAGGUGUGUGUUCCAGGUAAAUCCGGUUCACUUUAACACUGAGGCGUGAUGACGAGGCACUACGGUGCUGAAGCAACAAAUGCCCUGCUUCCAGGAAAAGCCUCUAAGCAUCAGGUAACAUCAAAUCGUACCCCAAACCGACACAGGUGGUCAGGUAGAGAAUACCAAGGCGCUUGAGAGAACUCGGGUGAAGGAACUAGGCAAAAUGGUGCCGUAACUUCGGGAGAAGGCACGCUGACACGUAGGUGAAGUGAUUUACUCACGGAGCUGAAGUCAGUCGAAGAUACCAGCUGGCUGCAACUGUUUAUUAAAAACACAGCACUGUGCAAACACGAAAGUGGACGUAUACGGUGUGACGCCUGCCCGGUGCCGGAAGGUUAAUUGAUGGGGUCAGCGCAAGCGAAGCUCCUGAUCGAAGCCCCGGUAAACGGCGGCCGUAACUAUAACGGUCCUAAGGUAGCGAAAUUCCUUGUCGGGUAAGUUCCGACCUGCACGAAUGGCGUAAUGAUGGCCAGGCUGUCUCCACCCGAGACUCAGUGAAAUUGAACUCGCUGUGAAGAUGCAGUGUACCCGCGGCAAGACGGAAAGACCCCGUGAACCUUUACUAUAGCUUGACACUGAACAUUGAGCCUUGAUGUGUAGGAUAGGUGGGAGGCUUUGAAGUGUGGACGCCAGUCUGCAUGGAGCCGACCUUGAAAUACCACCCUUUAAUGUUUGAUGUUCUAACGUGGACCCGUAAUCCGGGUUGCGGACAGUGUCUGGUGGGUAGUUUGACUGGGGCGGUCUCCUCCUAAAGAGUAACGGAGGAGCACGAAGGUUGGCUAAUCCUGGUCGGACAUCAGGAGGUUAGUGCAAUGGCAUAAGCCAGCUUGACUGCGAGCGUGACGGCGCGAGCAGGUGCGAAAGCAGGUCAUAGUGAUCCGGUGGUUCUGAAUGGAAGGGCCAUCGCUCAACGGAUAAAAGGUACUCCGGGGAUAACAGGCUGAUACCGCCCAAGAGUUCAUAUCGACGGCGGUGUUUGGCACCUCGAUGUCGGCUCAUCACAUCCUGGGGCUGAAGUAGGUCCCAAGGGUAUGGCUGUUCGCCAUUUAAAGUGGUACGCGAGCUGGGUUUAGAACGUCGUGAGACAGUUCGGUCCCUAUCUGCCGUGGGCGCUGGAGAACUGAGGGGGGCUGCUCCUAGUACGAGAGGACCGGAGUGGACGCAUCACUGGUGUUCGGGUUGUCAUGCCAAUGGCACUGCCCGGUAGCUAAAUGCGGAAGAGAUAAGUGCUGAAAGCAUCUAAGCACGAAACUUGCCCCGAGAUGAGUUCUCCCUGAGACUUAAAGUCUCCUGAAGGAACGUUGAAGACGACGACGUUGAUAGGCCGGGUGUGUAAGCGCAGCGAUGCGUUGAGCUAACCGGUACUAAUGAACCGUGAGGCUUAACCUU